UCGAACGAGAAAUCUCGAGCUUGCUCGAGAGAGUAAAGUGGCGCACGGGUGAGUAACGCGUGGGUAACCUGUCCUUAAAUUUGGGAUAAUCCACCGAAAGGUGGCCUAAUACCAAAUACAGUCCUGAGAACUACGGUUUUUAGGAUGAAAGCUGACCUCUUCAUGAAAGUUGGCGUUUGAGGAGGGGCUCGCGUACCAUUAGCUUGUUGGUAGGGUAAUGGCUUACCAAGGCUACGAUGGUUAGCUGGUCUGAGAAGAUGAUCAGCCACACUGGAACUGAAACACGGUCCAGACUCCUACGGGAGGCAGCAGUGAGGAAUUUUGCGCAAUGGGGGAAACCCUGACGCAGCAACGCCGCGUGAGUGAAGAAGGCUUUCGGGUCGUAAAGCUCUGUCAAGUGGGAAAAAAUCCUUUCGAUUAAUAGUCGGAAGGGCUGAUGGUACCACUGGAGGAAGCACCGGCUAACUCCGUGCCAGCAGCCGCGGUAAUACGGAGGGUGCAAGCGUUGUUCGGAAUU
rnacentral:rRNA from 1 species